rnacentral:rRNA from 1 species
CCUACGGGGCGCAGCAGUGGGGAAUAUUGGACAAUGGGCGAAAGCCUGAUCCAGCCAUGCCGCGUGUGUGAAGAAGGCCUUCGGGUUGUAAAGCACUUUCAGUGGGGAAGAAAGCCUUGGGGCUAAUACCCUCGAGGAAGGACAUCACCCACAGAAGAAGCACCGGCUAACUCCGUGCCAGCAGCCGCGGUAAUACGGAGGGUGCGAGCGUUAAUCGGAAUUACUGGGCGUAAAGCGCGCGUAGGCGGUCUGAUAAGCCGGUUGUGAAAGCCCCGGGCUCAACCUGGGAACGGCAUCCGGAACUGUCGGGCUAGAGUGCAGGAGAGGAAGGUAGAAUUCCCGGUGUAGCGGUGAAAUGCGUAGAGAUCGGGAGGAAUACCAGUGGCGAAGGCGGCCUUCUGGACUGACACUGACGCUGAGGUGCGAAAGCGUGGGUAGCAAACAGGAUUAGAUACCCCAGUAGUC